rnacentral:rRNA from 1 species
AACGAACGCUGGCGGCAUGCCUAACACAUGCAAGUCGAACGAGACCUCCGGGACUGGUGGCGCACGGGUGCGUAACGCGUGGGAACCUGCACUUAGGCUCGGAAUAACUCCUCGAAAGGGGGGCUAAUGCCGGGAAAUGUACUCUAAUAAAAGAUUUAUCGCCCUUGGAUGGGCAGGCGUUGGUUUAGCUUGUUGGUAGGGUAAAAGCCUACCACGGCGAGGAUCCAUAGCUGGGCAGAGAGGCUGGUCAGCCACACUUGGACUGAGCCACGGCCGAGAAUCCUACGGGAGGCAGCAGUGGGGAAUAUUGGACAACCGGCGAAAGCCUGAUGCAGUUAUGCCGCGUGAGUGAUGAAGGCCUUAGGGUUGUAAAGCUCUUUUACCCGCGAUGAUAAUGACAGUACCGGGAGAAUAAGCUCCGGCUAACUCCGUG